AUUGAACGCUGUCGGCAGGCCUAACACAUGCAAGUCGAGCGAGCGGCGGACGGGUGAGUAAUGUAUGGGGACUGCCCGAUAGAGGGGGAUAACUACUGGAAACGGUGGCUAAUACCGCAUACUAUCGGAUAACCCAUAUGGGAUUAGCUAGUAGGUGGGGUAAAGGCUCACCUAGGCGACGAACUCUAGCUGGUCUGAGAGGAUGAUCAACCACACGGGGACGGAGACACGGCCCAGACGCAAACGGAGGGAGCAGGGGGGAAUAUUGGAGAAUGGGGGCAAGCCUGAUGAAGCGAUGCCGCGUGUAUGGAGAAGGCAUUAGGGUUGUAAAGUACUUUCAGCGGGGAGGCGUUACCCGCAGAAGAAGCACCGGCUAACACCGUACCAGGAGCCGCGGUAAUUC
rnacentral:rRNA from 1 species